CCGGGGCCCCCGGAGCGAGGCUGGCCCCGCACACGGCAGGCAGCAGCCACGGGGGCGGGAGCAGGCCCGCCGGAACCACGUUUCCCCGCCAAGGAUGGCUAUGACCACGGGCCCCAAGCCCCAGGGCUGCUGCUUCCAGUGGGCACAGAGGCAGAGCCUCUCCCAAACUCAGGCAAAGAGGCCUCCCUCAGGGGCCCCUCACAGAGGCAGCCCCUGUGGAGCGUCUGCUGAGGUCCCUGCAGCUCCGUCCUCCAGCCGUGGACUCUGGAGCCAGAUGGCUGCGGUCAAACUCCAACGCACGGCCUACUGCUCACGGGACCCUGGGCACGCCGCCUCCGCUCUCUGCGCCUUACAUAAUGUUCCCAUCUGCAAAACGGGGAAACGACCGUUCCUUCCUCCCGCACGUGAGCGUUAAAUGAGAUCUGUUUGUAAAGCACUUAGAAUGGGGCCUGGCAGUGAAAAUGCAGCACGCCGUGUCAGCUGCCGUCAUUACCAUCUUUAUCACCACCAUCGUCUUGACAGGAGGAAACACAGCCACAGGGAAACCCGCUGCCCACCUGCACCAGGAGGGCGCCUAGGUGCCGGCAAUGAGGCCGAGCCUGGCCGUUUCAGGAUAAAGAAGAAUUUAUGGAGAGGCUGCCAGGAUGUCCUGGUGAGGGAUGAGGAACUAACAAGCUACCGUCAACUGGAAGAAUUCGGGAAAGGUCCGAAGGAGAGAGGAGAUGCCCGUCCGUCUGUCCUGCUGUCCUCCCAGAAUCCUUCUCGCUGGAAUCCUCCUUGGCUGAGCGAAGUGCACCCCACCCCAGCAAGGACCCUGGGUCAGAAUGGUUGACUAGAGAUGACCUGGAAACUAACCCCCUCUCUGUAAGACCCGAGACUGCAAGCCACGUGGCCAGCAGUCCUCUUGGGAUCUCCGACCCUCCUGCUCUCCGCCCAGGCACCCCUUCCCAAUAAACAAGUCUCUUGCUUCGUUAGCAUGUGUGUCUCCUCAGACAACUCAUUUCUGAGAUGAGCCCACUCCGGGGCCCUGGAAGGGGUCCCCCUUCCUGCAGCACUGCCGGCCGUGAGCGCUGAGGAAGCCUGUCCAGACCGCCUGGCUGCAGCGUAGCCCUGGGGCCCUCCCGUCAAUGUGUCCAUCGACCUGCUCCGGAGACGGCAGAGCAAAAAGGACAG